GAUAUUAGUGAAUACACCGGGGAACCCACUCUGU
rnacentral:rRNA from 1 species